rnacentral:misc_RNA from 1 species
CCCUUGUGGAGGAGGACGCCGAAGGUGGGGCUAAUGACUGGGGUGAAGUCGUAACAAGGUAGCCGUACCGGAAGGUGCGGCUGGAUCACCUCCUAACAGGGAGACAACAAAAUGUUUAAUAUUAUUAUUUUGUCACCUUAGGUCGAUCGGUAUCUCACGUUCUUAAUUUAUUAAGAAUUUCAUUUCCUAAGUUUUUCUAGGUCACACCCAUUAUUUUCCUGGGCCAUUAGCUCAGGUGGUUAGAGCGCACCCCUGAUAAGGGUGAGGUCCCUGGUUCAAGUCCAGGAUGGCCCAUAUCUCUAUGUUGGGGGUAUAGCUCAGUUGGUAGAGCGCCUGCUUUGCAAGCAGGAUGUCAGCGGUUCGAGUCCGCUUACCUCCACUGAUUACCACCUCUUCCAUAAUUUGUAGAAGGGAAUAUUUUGAGUUGUGAUCAAAUUCUGAACGAAUCUAGCUUCCUAAUGAAAUCAUUAAGAUGCUGGACUCAUUGAAUUAAUUUCUUUGUUUUCAGAGAACCUUGACAACUGCAUAGAUUAUUUUUAAAGACAAUAAGCAUCUUUAAUGAUGCAGAUUUAUUAUUUGUGCGAAUGCAUUAAUAACAAUUCUAUUAAGCUGAUGCUUCAAUUUUGAAGUUAUUGGUCAAGCUACAAAGGGCUCACGGAGGAUACCUAGGCACACAGAGGCGAU